rnacentral:lncRNA from 1 species
GCGAGGGGUGGGACCGCAGGGCCGGAGUAAAAGGGUGCUUGGCUGUGACAGGUGCUAAGGGCCUGGGCGUCAGCUCCUUGCGGGAGCGUCACUGCCGACCGGGAAGGGAAAGGCAAUCUUGGGGGCCUCCGGAGUCCGGAGGAUCACUCUGAUGGGUCUCCUGGCCUCAGUGAUGGAAUUAAGAUGACUUCUAUCUCUGAAUCCAAGGGUGACUGAAAGCCGCAAGCUGCAGAAAGGACAAGAGGCAUCACCUAUGUGGAUAAAGACAGCAUCCUGAGUUGAUGGAGAAAUGGCAUAGAAGGAACCAGGUCCUUUGAUGACAUCAUGGAGCAAAGCUGUCUUCUUGCCUUGACCUGCUACCUACCUACAUGGGAAGCUGUUACUUGAGAAGGCAAUAAAAUCUAUCUUCUUUAUUGA